rnacentral:rRNA from 1 species
UACAGAGGGUGCAAGCGUUAAUCGGAAUUACUGGGCGUAAAGCGCACGUAGGUGGUCACUUAAGUCAGGUGUGAAAUCCCCGGGCUCAACCUGGGAAUGGCAUUUGAUACUGGGUGUCUAGAGUAUGUUAGAGGGAAGUGGAAUUUCCGGUGUAGCGGUGAAAUGCGUAGAUAUCGGAAGGAAGACCAGUGGCGAAGGCGGGUCUCUGGACAGUUCCUGACGCUGAGGCA